rnacentral:lncRNA from 1 species
AUGGCGGGAGGGCGGCGAGCCUGGGGCAGCGGCGCGGAGCCGGCGGCGCGGACGAGCGGCGGACGGCGCGGGAGUUGGAGCGCGCGGCGGGCGGCGGGCGGCGGGCGGGCGGGAGCGCGGCGCUCCGGGGCCGGGGCCGGGCCGGGGGGCGGGGGCGCCGGGACCCGGCGGGGGCGGGGCGGGGCGGGGCGGGGGCCCGGGAGGACCGCGCGGCGGCGGCGGCGGCGCGGGGUCGGGGCCGGUCCCGGCUCGGCUGGGCUCGCGCCUCCGGCCGCGGGCUCGAGGCGCGGGGUCUGCGCGCGGCGGGGGCUGCGGAGGAGCCCGAGCGCCCGGCGGUGCGGGGACGUGCGGCGGCGGCGAGACCGAGCCGCGCCGCGUGCGAGGCAAAGCCGUCCUUAUACUGACACCAAAUGUCUUCGGGGAAAGCUGCAGGCGCGGGACGCCGGGGGGAGGCGGGAGGCGACAGACAGGCUUCGGCGGCGGCUGAGCCCCCACGCCGCCCCCGAGGGCAGGAAGCCCCGGCCUCGCCGCCUCCCCCCGCAAUUCAGGGGCGCGCCGGGGGAGGGUCCUCUCCAGGGGCUGCGUCAUGCGCAAGGAGGGAGGGACCCCAUGACCGACCACCCUCGGGUCCCAGGUGCCUGCUCCGCGCGUAACACUUUGGAUUCUCACCCAGUGACCAAGAACACCGGAAGUGAAGAUGGCUGACAAGUCGAGGAACCAAGGCGGAGUGAGAUGUCUGCAAAGCUGGGCAAGUGUUGACACGCACAAAUGAAUCCAGGCCAGAGGGCGAAACUGGGCAGGCUGGGAGUAACAUCCUCGGCAGAGUUGAACCGAAGCACUUCUAGUUUUCCUGUGUUUUUAUGACCCAUCUUGGUGAAAAGGCUGUGAGUUUUCACACUGUCAGAACAAACAGCCAGGACUUGUUUCCCAGGGUGCGUGGCUGUUUCAUGGACUCCUCACAGCUACAUCACAUUUCUGACAAUUUUGAAAUCUUUGUUUUCCUCUGGGAAUGUAGAAGAGCUGUAACCCUCUAUUUCCCAUCACAUGCCAGGCUCAAAAGCCUCUCUCGCUGGCACACAUCUGCCCCCCAAUGCUCCACUUAACACUUGCCCCAUCCCUGCAUGCUUACUCUGUGAGCAAGGAGUGUGUCACAGGUGUUCAAAGGAAAAGGUCUCCAAUUUUUUAGAUAGAAAUUUACUACCUGGGCAGCCCGGGUGGCUCAGUGGUUUAGCGCCACCUUCAGCCCAGGGCGUGAUCCUGGAGACCCGGGAUCCAGUCCCCAUUGGGUUCCCUGCAUGCAUCCUGCUUCUCCCUCUGCCUGUGCCUCUGCCUCUCUCUGUGUGUCUCUCAUGAAUAAAUAAAUAAAGUCUUGAAAAAAAAAAAGAAAUUUUAAGGUUUAAAAAAAAAAAGAAAUUUACUGCCUAAAGCAACCUUAAAGACAAUUUAAUACAAUCUUCCCCCUCCCUACUUUGCCUCAUUUUGCAGAUGAGAAAAAUUGAGGCUGAGAGAGGAAGGGAUCUGUGCUAGGUUGUCCAAAGAGAUCAUGGGCAUCCAGAAGCUGCCUGAGACUGUGAGGAGCAAGUGGGGAAGAGGCCAGCUCUCUCUCCCAGGCCCCCAGACCCCAGCUUGGCCACACACACCCGCCCUUCAGGAGAUCAUCUUUGGGUUCUGGCAGAAAGAUGGCCCCACCUCCCCUUCUCCACCACCCUACCUGCCAGAAGAUCCCAGCCUUCAAAUAAUGAACGAUUCCUAAUUUAAUUACAUUUUUAAUUCAUUUGAGUCUCUGAGGAGCACUGAGCUAGUCUGAGGAAACGCUCAGUAGUUCCCAAGAGGGAGAGAGGAUUUCCUUUCCUGUUUCAGAGAAGAGAGAGGGAGAAACCAGGUCCCAUUUUCCUUUGGGACUGCAUAUGCCUCCUACUUUCCUUGCAGGCAAUCCCUCCAUCAGACUUGGUGGGAUAAGCAGGAUCUGGGCAGAGGACAGGGAGGCAGUUGGCGAGGAAGCAAGGAGCAGAGGGGAAGUCCCCACCUGAAAUUUUAAAAGACAGUCCUCACACACACACCCAGGGAGUUGGUUGCAGACUGCCAUGUACUGAGGCAUCAUAAUUAUUGUGAUCACUUCUUGAGGAUCUUCUCUUGUCCAACAUUUAUUUUCUCUCUUGUCGGACACUUCUCUUAUCUGACUUAACUUAAACCCCACAAUUUUACCAUCUACUUUUUUUUUUUGCAAAAAAGAAAAUAAAGGCUCAAAGAAGUGACUUGCCCAAGGCCACAAGGUAGGUAAGAGGCAUGACCAGGACUCAAAAGUGCUCUUCUGGGCUUGAAGCCCCUGCCCACAAGCCCCACCCCACCCCACCCCACCCCCCCCCACACACAUACACACACAUCUCUGACAAGGAAUCCCAGGGGGUGUCUAAUCCAAGGAUGCUGGCACUCUAGGGAUGAGCCUCCUGGAAAUGUUUGUGAAAUCUUGUGCUCCUGUGCAAAUUUCCUCAAUGAAUAAUAGUCACAAUAAUAGUAGCAAAUCCAGAGUCUUUGUUAUGUGCUAAGUGCCAUUCUAAGCACUUCACAUA